GACGAACGCUGGCGGCGUGCCUAACACAUGCAAGUCAACUUGACUGAAGGAGCAAUCUGACAGUAGAGUGGCGCAAGGGUGCGUAACGCGUAAGUAACUUGCCCAAGGUAAGGAAUAACGUCGAGAAAUCGGCGCUAAUACCUCAUAAUGCAGCGGAUCCGCAUGGAUAUGUUGUUAAAGGUUUACCGCCUUGGAUAGGCUUGCGUCUGAUUAGUUAGUUGGUGUGGUAACGGCACACCAAGGCUACGAUCAGUAACUGGUCUGAGAGGAUGAUCAGUCACACUGGAACUGAGACACGGUCCAGACUCCUACGGGAGGCAGCAGUGAGGAAUAUUGGGCAAUGCUCGAAAG
rnacentral:rRNA from 1 species